AUGCGGUUGCUCUGUUUGCCUGGGGGAAAGCCUGCGCAGGGACUCCAGGACAACAUCACUUGGACAAGGAUCCCGGGACGAAAACCCCCAGGACCACCCGUCUCUCCUGGUCCCAGACCCCACGUGGCCCCAGGGAUGCCGAGGCAGCAGGCAUGUCCACAGCGUAGCGUUCAUAGGUCCACUGUCGUGGUGUGGUUGCUGGAACCGAAGAACCAAAUCGGAAUCAACGGGCAGGAGAGGGGCAAGCUGGGCCAUCUUGUGAGCUCCCGAGGCAGGACGGGGCCCCGCCUCACCGACACCAGCGCUGGGAGGCAGGACGGGGCCCCGCCUCACCGACACCAGCGCUGUGAGGUGGAGGAUACAGCAGUCCACCUGCUGCACCCGGCAGCUGCUGAAGUGGACUCGCCCCGUCACGCUGAGCGUCGACAGCAAAGUUCAGAUCUGAGAGAAGAUCCCAAAAAGAGCUGGAAUUUUAGGCUCCCUGUUGGCCCAUGGGCAGUGUCAGCCGUAGAAGGUCGAGUCCAGCCCCAGCCCGAGGUGUACCCUGUGCCAAAGCAGCAGCGGAAGAUUCGGGCCAGCCGACGGCCCGAGGCCCAGCCCUCUCCCCUGGACUCUGCCAUCCCCAGGGCCCCCGUCCAGCUGCAGGAUGGCGGCCUCUCCCACACCGUGGCCCUGCCCCUCUGACCACCCUUGCAGUGUUUCCCACAGCGUCAGGAGAGGGGUGCAGCCCUGCUAGAGCCGCCGCCUCCACUCACUGUGCCGGCAGCCAGCGGGGUGAAGCGGGGCUGCUCUCCUGCCAGCAGCAGGAGGCACGGGGGCGGCUCACUCUGCGCUGACACUCGGCUGGGGGCUGUCGCCUGAUCCCCCUCGCAGCCAAGGUGGGAGACCUGCAGACGGAGCCAGGCCGUGCCCAUCUCCACAGCCCGACUGCAGUUGGGAGUCGGGGAGGGGCAUGGCAGGAAGCCCUUUCUAAAGGCAGCCCCGCCUUAAAUGCAGUACAGCUGGGAUUCAGGCAGCUCCGGGCGGGUGGCCAUAGCUGGGGACGCUGACCAUCUCAUCACGUCCCCUGCCCCUCUGGUGAGGCCUUUCUUCCCUUCGCUUGUCCCCCUCGGCUCGCAGCAGUGCCACACAGAGGCCGGGCAGUGCAGUGGACAGCAGUGGUGGUGUUGGCAUUGGCUGGACGACCACAGGCCAGGCGUGGGGCUGCUGUCUCACUCGAGGGGUGCAGGGCCACAGCCACACGUGCACACUGCCUGACAGCAUUGCAGAGUCAGACACGUGUGGCCUUCUCUCACCGCACCCCUGAGUGUCCCUGGGUCGGCUGUCCUGGCAGCCUGGGGCUGCCUGUGGCAGGUCUCCAGUUUCUCAGCCUCCAUCUGUGCCUGAAUGGAUUCCUCACUUUCCUUGCAUCCUCCAGCCUCUGUGUCCCUGGAGAGCUCUGAUGGACAGCAUUUGUGUCCCAGUGUGCCCACCUUCUGGCUGCCAAGCGCAGGGCCCUGCCUGCCAGGGAGCUGCCGAGGCCUGGCCUCUGUUCCCCACUCCGGGUUCCCGGCUCCAGCUUGCUAUGUGCCAUGGGAAUUCAGCCUUUCUGAACCCGUUUCCUGAUCUCUGAACUGGGAGCAGUGUGCAUGGUGCUGAGAUGGAUGGUUCUUGCUGUCACUCAGCUCCCGGGCCCCUGAGGCCU
ensembl:lncRNA